AAGGUAGUUCUACAUAUAGUGACUCCACAUAUAGCAACAAUUUUAAAAAGUAUCAGUAAUUUCGCCAGAAGUAUUUUUUUUUACCUGUACUGAUAUUUAAAAGUGUCGCUAUACACCGUUUUUAUUAUAGUGAUAUACGUAAUAAUAUAAUAGCUUUUGAUUUAUACAAAGAGGCAAUUCAAAAUGAAUGGAUUUACUGACACAUUAAUAUAUAAUAUAAGAUGUAUAAGAUGUAUGUUCAAACCGCACACUAGAUGUGAUUCUGUGCCAAAAAUAAUAAUAAUAAUAAUAAUAAUCUUACGCAUAGAAUAAUUUUGUGGACAACAUCCACUCUUAUAAUUUAUUUUUUUCUAAAAAAAAAAGAUUUGGGAUUCAACGUAUAUUUCAUUAGGAAUUAAUAUUUUUGGAACUAUUUUACAAUGUCCCCAUCGCAGUAAAAAAAAUAGGGGCAGUUAAAUACGCUCCUCAAAAUUUAAAAAUAUGGGAAAACUUCAAAAACCUCCUUUUUGGUUUCAUAGUUUCUCAUUUUACCCCCCUGUGGUUUAAAAUGUAUCAAUUUGCAACCCGUGGUUUCUUUUUUCUCUUUUUCAUAUCAAUUUCAUUAUUUUUUUUCUUAAAUCAGUGAUAAAGUUAAAAUUAAAGGGUACUAAAGUGAAUAUUUGAUAAAUCUAGAUGGAUAUCUAUAUAUAAUUUAAUGAAAUAUUAACGAAAAAGCUAUCGAAAAGAUAAAAACAAAACUACAGGAGGGCAAUUUGAUACAUUUUAAACCACAGGGGGACAAAGUGAGAAACUAUGAAACUACAGGGGGGGUUUUUGAAGUUUUUCCUAAAAAUAUUGCAGAUGUUCUUUCAAAUUUAUCAAUAUAUAUUAAUUAUUUUUGCUAUCAUAAAUGUAUAAAUUAUAUUAAAAAUAUCCUUUUUCCAGGUUGACUAAUAUUAUAAGGCCGAUUUGUCCCUGAUUAUACCUAAUUAGCGAUAAUAGUAUGAUUUUAUCUGUGGCUAAUGGAGUUAUUUCUCAUUAAAAAAAAUAACGUUAAAGUCUAGUUUUAUUAUUUUAAUAUACUCGGUUUAUAUUCAUGAUUUAGUUUGUGAAUGUCUUUUUUAUCUACUCUAGCUCGUUUUCUUUUUUUGUUUAAUUCANUAAUGGAGUUAUUUCUCAUUAAAAAAAUAACGUUAAAAGUUGUUUUAUUAUUUGCAAAUAUAUUCUAUAGUUUAAAUUUUUUAAAUUACUUUAAUUUUUUAUCUACUAUUUAUAUAGUUUAAUUUGUUUUAGUUAAUUAUAACUUUUAGUUUAUUAUUCAUUCAACUGCAUUAUAAUAUUUUAAAGAUAAAAAUGUUUGAUUUAUUUAAAAAAUUAAGAAUGAUGAUAGAUAAAAAGGCAAAUUGAGAAUUUUGUUAAAUUUUUAGAAAUAAUUGUCACUAAUUUGAAUAUUUUUGAUAAUUUCUUUAGUUAGAAAAAUAUUUUUUUAAUGUUGCUGAUUUUAGAUAUAUAAAUAUAUAUACAAUUAAAACUAGGAAGACUCUGGAAGAGAAGUACAUAUAAAAUUAUUCCAAAAAAUUAAUAUAAAAAACUUCAAAAUUUAUCGAAACUAUAGACUAGUUUGAAUCGGCUAUCCAAUCUUUUAAAAUUUUAUUUUUACUAUCUGAACGUUUCAAUUUGUUUGAUGUGAGUCAACUAGUGAUACAUUGUCUUUAAAAACUAAGCUAAUUAAUUACUCUGAUGAGUUUGUAGUUGCAAGAAUCGCAUGAAAUAUAUUAACUAAACUUGUAAAGAAAAACAGCACAUUCAAAUUUUGAAAUUAAAGUACCGUUGACUAAUUCAAAUCAAAUAAAUUAAAAGAUUGAAUGAUAAAAUUAAAAUUUUAAAAUAUUAGAUGGUCAACUCAAAAUGAUCUAUAAUUCAAAUAAAUCCUGUAUAUUUUUACCAAAAGUUAAUUUGCUUUUCUAUUAGAAUUAGCCUUGAAUUAAACAUGGGUCCACUUGACUAUUUAGUAUAAGUAUUUAUUAACUAUUAAUAUGAGAAGUGAUUUAGAUGCAAAGAAGUUGAAGGUUAGCUCUUAACAUGCAUAGUAUUUUGGGUAAAAAAAUUGGGAUGAGUAGAAUCCUAUUUUUUCCAUGUUUUAAAAAUCAAAUUAAACAACGAUCCAAAAAAAUUAUUAGGUCAGGAAUAACUAGUUUAACCAAUAGGUCUAAUAACCUUAAUAUAACAGUCAUAAAUAUUUAAUUAUUAUUUUAUUUUUAUCAUAUAACAGAUAUUAAAAAUUACUCUAAAAAAAAAUUGAUCUUGAAUUCGACUGAAAGUACCACAACUCUUAAUAUUUUUAGGCCACUCAAUAAUAAGCCAUCUGAGUCGACAAUUGACACGGUUAAAAAAUGACCUACGACUCACCAACUUUUCAAAUACAUUUUAUAUAUAUUAUAAAAAAUUAUUAAUUUGGAGACAAUUUAAAUAGUUAAAAUAAUAAAAUUUGAUUGGUAAACACGACAGUGUUUGGUUAGGGGAUAGGAAUAGGAAUAGAUACUUAUCCUCCUUUAUAUCCAAACGCUAAAUUUUUACCUGAGAAUAGUACUUCUCGGUUAUCCCCACCAACACCUCCAUUUUUUAUACAAAAUUAUGUAAAAUUGUUCUUAUCUUCAAGAACAACUCAAUUUUCAUCCAAACAUUAUUUUUUUUAUCCCUAUAUUUGUAUCAUUUUUGUAAUAGCUAAUUUUUAUUUAUACCCGAACUAAACGGUAUCUAGUUAUCAUCAAAAAUAUUUAAUGACAAGUACGAAUUUUGAAAACUAAUAUAAUAUUUGUGUUUCGAUACGAAACGUGAGAUCGAAGGACGUAAAUACCUUAAUACAAUAUGUGAGCUGUAUCGAUCGUAUCUAUUUCACCCUCGCAUUUAUUAAUCCUAUCAUCACUUUUGUGCACCCCUACAAAGGGAAUUAGUAUUGUAGCCCAUCCACUACAUAUACCUGCUACUAUAUAUAUAUAUAUAUAUAUAUAUAGAAUUUAGCUUCUAUGCUUUUAAAAGUACCAAGUCAAUUGUGCUUGUAAAUUUUUAGCUUUUGGAUUAAUAGAUGUGUGGGUAGGAUGAUGUCGGCCCUUUUGGGUUGAGUGGGUGGUUGGUUGAAUAGUAUAAUUUAACGGAUGAAAAUGAUCAAAGACGUAGAUCUAACGGUAAAAAAUUCACAAGCACCAAGUGCUUGGUACUUUUACAAGCACCAUAGCCGGACUCUAUAUAUAUAUAUAUAUAUUAUGAUAUUUUAAAAAUAUAUGUAAAAGAAUUUAGGAUUCAAGGUUCAAAAUUUUUUUAUACAUAUUUUUUAAAUUUCAUAGCAUAUAUCUAUUAAAUUAUAAUUAAAAAAUAAAAAAUAAAAUUUUAGAAUAAAAAAUUGUGCACCGGGUGCACUAAAAAAAUUCCCACUGUUCUCCCAAAAGAAAGAGCAGUAGGGGCGAUGAGCCCUGCGUGGCGCGUGCCGCAUGGCGUCAAUCUGGCGCAUCCUCAAAUUACACUGUCCAUAAAAUUUUUAUCCAACGAAUUGGAUGUGUACUUGGAUAAUUAAUGAGCUUGGAUAUAAGACCAAGGGACAAAAAUUUUAUAGACAUUGUAUAUUGUUGAUGGUGCCACGUUGCCCAUCUAACGAGCGCCCUCUCCUCUUCCUAUACUGUUCUCUCUCUCUCUCUCUAAAAACAUAUGACAUGAUUUUCUUUCCAUCCGUGGCCGUUGGAUCGGCCAAGUGGCGCUGAUCCACAUAGUCCCCAAACUAAUUAGUUUUUUUUAUUUAUUAUAGGUGUCCGUUGGGUGAGCCACGCGGCGCCCAUGGCACCCAAACUAAAUAUGCUCAUAACAUUUUUGUUCCGGAUCAAGCUCUAGUCGGGUCAGACUAUUCGAAGAUACAUCUUAUCCGUAGAUUAUUUAAACAUGAAUAAUAAAUAAAAUUUAUUCGUAAAUUUUUUGAUAGCUAAUAUUUUUAUUCAUAAUCGUCUGCAGGUUACUGUUUCUAUAUUUUUGAAACAUAAGAUAUAAAUAUAUAAUUAUUAAAAGACAAUAACAUAAUUUACCGUUUAAAAUAUCACAGCAAUAUGUUUAAAAUAUCACAAUAUAUAAUAGAUAAUAUAAAAUUUUAAAACAAUAGGAAAAAAAUUAAGAUUAAAAUUUUAGAGAUAGAUAAAAAAAAUGAAUAUAUAUAUAUAUAGUAAGACUAUUAUACUCUUAUGAGUAUAAAACUUUUCGUACUUCUAAGUUCUUUUCAAUGAUGGAGAUUCCGAAUCAAUAAUUCACUCCGUUAAAUUUGAUUUAGAGUAUUUGAAAGUUCUAAAAAAAAAUUUCGUAAUUUUUCGAAAUCAUAAUAAAGUCUAUCAAGCGGGUAUAAAAUGAACAGUCAAAAUCGAACGACGUCCUACAAAUGUAUAAUUGGAUCGUUCAAUUUAAAAUCAGAGUCAUUGAUCAUUAUCUAGGUAGUACAGAGGCCUCCGUGCUUUCGAAAGUACAUAGGCUUCCAUGUUUAUAAAUUAUUUUCGAUGAUAGAACAUCCGAUUCAACGACGCUUCGUUAGAUAUAAUCUACUAUUGGAACUAUUUAUAAAUCAAAUUUCUUAAUUUUUUGUCAUUAUUUACCAAAUGAUCAAAAUGUCUCAAAAAUAAUUAUUUUAACAGUCGAUGUUACGUUUUUAAGUUCAACGGUAUAGAACAAUCGAAAUUACAUGAAACUUUAAUAAAAAAUUCUACUUAACAUCAAUAGUAAGAUCAAUACUUCCGAUUUAAAAUUUGAGUUUUUUACCAUUAUUUUUUAUGAUUUUUAUUUUCAGCCAUUCAUUUAAAGCUACCGUUCGCUAGGCAAAUAAAGUCAAAAAAUAUAAAAUUUAGUUUUUAGAUAAUUCUAAUAGAGUAGAUCAUGUCUAAUAAAACUGAUAGCCGAAUUGGAUGCUCCAUCAUCGAAAAUAACUUACAAGUACAGAGACCUUCGUACUUUCGGAAGCAUAGGAGCCUCUCUCUCUCUCUCUCUCUCUCUCUCUUUAUAUAUAUAUAUAUAUAUAUAUAUAUAUAUAUAGAAUUAUGCUACUAUACUAUCAAUAGUACCAAACCCUUGGUACUAUUGAGUUUUCGGCUGUUGGAUGAAAAGAUGUGCGCUUAGGAUGAUAGUGGUUCUCAGUUAACUUGAUAGUGGUCUCCUAGGGUUGAGUGGGCGGUUGGUUUAAUAGUAUAAUCUAACGGAUGGAAAUAAUCAAAUGGUAGAUCUAACGGUAGAAAAUUCAAUAGUACCAAGGGCUUGAUACUAUCGAUAGUAUAGUAGCCGGACUAUAUAUAUAUAUAUAUAAAAUUGAGCUUCUAUACUUUUAAAAGUACCAAGUCAUUGAUACUUAUAGCCUUUUAGCCAUUAGAUUAAAAAAUGUGCAAUUAGAAUGAUAGUGGUCCUCUAAAAUUGAGUGAGUAAUUAAUUAAAUAGUAUGAUCUAGUAGAAGAAAAUGAUUAAAAGGGUACCUAUAGGUUGUCCAAAAUACCUACCUGUUUUAACCAUAAUUUUUUGAUUAAAAAAUUAGUGCUCGUACUUGCAAAUUUAUCGAUAAUCCGCAGGUAUCCGCGUAUAUAGGAAGAGAUUGCCUGGUCUAAGCUGUACAUUAUAUUUUCCUCCUCCUUUUGACACCCACUGUAAUCACCACUAAGAUCAUUUGUAUUUUUUUUAUGCUGAGUUAAGAUUCCUUACUCUUCUUUAUGUUUUGGAACUGAAUGGAAAUGGGUUAGGUAAGUGUUAGAUGCUGGACCACCUUGGGCUUUGGCACCCUAGACCUGCCUAAUCCUAGGUGUUUAAUAUUUAUUAUUGUUUUAUCUAGUUUAAUUGGUUUGGUUAUGUUGUCAACACAUGAGCUCUACACAAACCAUUUAAUCCAACCUAUAUAUUAAUGAUCUCAGUGAAGGCAAGUUCUGUUAAAACUAGGGAUGUCAAUGAAUAGAAUAUUUGAAAUUUUAUCCAAAUCCGAAUCUGAACAGGGCGAAUUUAUUCAAUACUAAAUGAAUACAGUUUCGACUAUGGAUAUAAAGAAUGAAGAUCUAAUGAAUUUGGAUUCGGAUAUGAAUUUUGUCUGUACAUGAACCGAACCCGAACCCGACCUGAAUCCAAAUUGAUUUUACAUUAUAUAUGUACCAUUUUGAGUAUUCAUGUUGCGAUGAUCGCAUAUUUACAGCGUUGUGAUUGAUUUUAGUAAAUUUGUUUGGACAAAUUUUGUUGACGCUUUGGUGUACCUUCGUACAUGCGGUGGGUCUGUUGACGUAAUCGGGCAUCCACUGUAAUUCGGGGCGUGAUAAUAUAUAUAUACUUGAGCUGGAAUACUGUUAAUAGUAGUUGGACUCUUUUACUAUCAAUUUUUUAGCCUUUAGAUCUACAUCUUAAUCAAUUUCACCCUUUAGAUGAUACUAUUCAACCAACUAUCCACUUAACCCUAAGGGAACCACCACCAUAUCUUAGGUGAUUACUAUCAUCCUAACCCUACAAUUUUUCAUUAAGGGGUUAAAAACUCGAUAGCAAAAAAGAUUAAAUACUAUAAUAGUAUUCCAGCCCAAUUCUAUACAAUAUACUAUUACAUUUGAAAUUAUGUUUGAAAAGUUUAAAUUUAAUGUAAUAUGUUUUGAAAUAUGAUAAAGAGAAAUAAUUAUUUCCGGUUCUGGCUUCGAAUUUUUGGUCACUACAACAGAAUUAGGUUAUAGGGACACAUGUUUGGGACACUUUUGAGUAAGUGUCCCAUUUAUGCUAAAACUUAAAGAAACAUCUACUAAUGCCUAAAUAUAAAGCCCAAUCCAACUAGAAAUAAAAGAUUACUCUACUCAACCCACCACAUCCAGUCUAUUUGGCCCGAUUACAAAUAGAAAAGAAAAAAAAAAGAAAAUUCAAUUAUCAUAUUUUUUUCUCUCUUCACUCAAUCCAUUGAAAUUCUAGACGAAGAGCCAUUCCUGUCGUCCUCCUCCGCCACCGCAACCAACGAGAUAGAGUUUCGGCGGUUGCUAAAUGCUUAAAUAAGUUAUUGGUAAAUUAGCAGAACUCUUUUAGGUUAUAGCGACACUCUUUAACUGUCACUAUAUACCUAACGACCCCACAUAUAGCAACACUUUUUAAAAGUGUCGGUAAUUUUAGCUAGCAGCACUUUUUUGACAUGUACCUACAUUUAAAAGUAUCGCUAUAGACCGUUUUUGUUGGGGUUCGUGUUUGGAUAUAGAUUUUUAAAAUUUGUUAGAUUCGGAUUCAAAUUCAGGUUGGGAUUCAGAUUUUUGGAUUUGAUAAUCGAGUUCGGGUUUUGAAAAUCCGGCCCUGAUCUCCCUGGUUAAAAUGCGCCACUAUGACUACGCACCUUUUUCAUGCUAUCAAAUCCACACAUUAAAGUUUAAACAUUUUCCUUUUAUCAGAAGAGAAAUGUUUUGGGUGACCUAGAAAAUGUACCUCACAAUAUAGUUUAACUAGUGAAAUACCCACGCGAUGCUGCGGAUUUAAAAUUUUUUUUAAUAAAUUUUAGUUUUUUAUAUUUUUAAAUAAUUUUAUAAGUCUAAUUAUUAAUUAAAUAAAAGUUAUAUAAAAAUAAUUUAAUAGUUAAUUUUAUUUAAAUAAAAUUUAUUAAAACGACAACUUAUUUUAUAAAGAUUUAUGCGAAAAAAGAUUUGUGAUAAAUAUAUCAAAAUAAUUUUAAAAAANNNNUGAGUAUAAAGGAACCAAUACUCAUAAAAGUAUAGUAGCCGGACUAGAAAUAUAUAUAUAUAUAUAUAUAUAGAGAGAGAGAGAGAGAGAGAGAGAGGGAGAGAGAGUAAAGGGGGGUUUGGGGGGACACGUGUCACUCCAAGGUCCCCCCAAACCCUCCUUUAAUGUAGAGAAAUAGAUAGAUGUGCUGGCAUAUACGCGUGGAGAAUUUUAGGAUUCAGAGUUUAAGAUUUAAUUAUGAUAUUUUGAUUUAGAGUUCGAAUCUAUAAUAGUAGCUGUGGCAGGAACAAUAGUAGAAGCACAAGUUUUUUGAAAUAGUGUGUUUGAUUUUAGCUGAGAUGUUCACUUUAGCAUCCAACAAAAACUGCAAAAGUUUUUUGUUUCUUAAACACUCAGUUGAUGAUUCUCGAAUAAGAACCUAUUCUAGACCGCAAAUGAAUAGUUUAAAUUGAACAAUCUUACAAAACUAGAGGAUAGAAUAUUUUUUAACUUCAUCUCAAGACCAACAACUUAAAAUAUUUUCUAACAAAUUAUUAAUCUUGAGACUCUUUGAUUAAAAGACAAAUAUUUUUAAAAAGUUCUUGAAACUCAGUUUGUAAAAAUUUUGAGCUCCUCAAUCAUAUUUAACGAGGUUGAUCAUAUAAUCGCAUGUUCGAUCACCCAAAGUGACUCUACAGAAUCAAACCUUCCUGUUAUUAAUAGCAUCAUACCUAACUUGAAAGGUUUUAAGGCUAGUAUAAUUUAAACAACUCUUCACAAACAAUAUUAUUUUUUUUCUACCAACAGUAUUUUAUCUUCAAACAGUAUUAUUUUUUCAAUUCAUUUAUAUGCUGAUUUUGAUCAUAAAUAAAAAAAAGUCUAAAACUUUUGUUGCGUUGGAAAAAUAAAAUAAUAUAUUCUAAACACUAAUAUCAGGAGUUUCAAUUUGAUGUUGCUGCUUCUCCUGUAAAAGCUAUUAGAAAAAUGCUAAUAUAAUGUUUCCAAGAAUUCCCUCAUGACAUUUGCUAAGAGCGCUUUUCAUAUAAACCCUCACUAUUAUUCAAAAUUUGCAACGAAAGGAGAAUAAAAAUGUACUGAGACACACUCAGGUUAAUAAUUAGGUAUUGCCACCGGUCAUUGUGAUUUGAGCAAGGCUACCUGAAAGGUGUAAGAUUUACAUUUCAGUCUUUCAAAAUUAAAAUUUACUCAUUAUCUUUUUUUUUAUUAAUAUUAGAAAUUUUUAAAAAAUUUUAAACUACGAGAUCAAGGGGUAUAAAAUUUAAAUCCUAUAUUGGGGCGUACGGGUAGUACUUUUAUUUUGAUUUAGGCCCCUGGAACCUUCUCAACUUUUUUUAAAGAUUAUUUUAGAUAAUUUUCUUAAAUUUUUUGUUAAAUUUAAUAAAUAUAUUAGCCAUUACCAAUAAAUAUAUUCACUAUGGUGUAACUACUAAAAAAUGCUACAUGUACAGCUUAUAUAAGAGUGUAAUCUUACUGCCUUAUUAAAGAUGUCUGUGAAUCGGGUCGGAUCUAGAUAGUUGAUAUACUGUAUCCGUACCUUAAUAAAGAUGUAAAAUUUGCAAUGCUACCAAUACACCCUAGGUAUAACAGUAUAGGCAUAAAGUUUGCAACGAGUGGGGUUUGUGGCCAUAUUUAAUCUACUUGUUUUGUCAAAAAAAAAAAAAAAAAAUCUAUUAAUACUUCAAAGUGAAUGUAUCAAAUUUUAAAUCAAUGAUAUAAUUUGUACACCUACAGCUACGGCUGCCAACGAGCCCAACACGAGCGAGUUGGGGCGGACUCGUGUUCGCUCGUUUAUUAAACGAGUCAAACAUGAGCUAGCUCGUUAAAAUUAUAAUAUAUUAGAGUUUGGCAAAUUGACGAAUUAAGUUGCGGUCUGAGCAUUCGGUUCUGGUUAGGGCCCUGGAUUUGGAUGCCCUAUUUUGCUAUAGCAGCACGAAAAAGUAAAGUUGUGGGUUGAUUAAGUUGAUAAGCUAGCGAGAUCAGCAUGCUGACUAAUCAUAUUGAGUCGCUAAGUUUUCGAACACAGGACCAGGUGCUCGAAAAUGAAUUCAAACACUCCUACGAUAGUUCCGGACGCCCAGGUCCAAGAAGGGACAUCUAAAGUAGCUCGAACAUGAGGGAUCGGACGCCCGGAAUAAGGAAUCGGGCACCUGAAACAUCGGACUUUGGCUGAAAAUGGAAUUUUCAUAAUUUUACGGACUUGGCGUAAUUGUUAUAUUAUAUAUAUAGAGAGAGAGAGAGUCCGACUACUAUACUCUUAUGGGUACAAUCGCCCUCGUACUUAUAAUUUGUUUUCGAUGAUAGAACUUCAGAAUCGACGAUCCAUACCGUUAAACGUUAUCUAGAGCAUUUAAAACGUCUAGAUAUCAAAUUUUAUAAUUUUUCGACAUCAUUUACCUUACGAUCAAAAGGUCACAAAAUUGAUAAUUUUUAACAGCCGGUCUGGGAUAUUUGCUAGUUUAACGGUGUAAAAGAAUCGAAAUCGGUUGAAUUUUUGAUAGAAAUUUCUAUUCACUACAUAGAUAAAGAUCAAUAUAUAACUCUGAUCUUAAAUUGAAGGAUCCGAACAUCGUUCGAUUUUGACCGUUCAUUUUAUACCCGCUUGAUGAACUUUAUUAUGAUUUCGAAAAAUUACGAAAUUUAUUUUCUAAAAGUUUCAAAUAUUCUAAAUCAUAUUUAACGGAGUAGAUCGUUGAUUCGGAAGUUUCAUCAUUGAAAAUAACUUAUCAGUACGAAAUGCUCUAUACUCAUAAUUAAGAGUAUAGUAGCCCUAGCCUAUAUAUAUAUAGAGAGAGAGAGAGAGUCCGGCUACUAUACUCCUUAUGAGUAUAGAUUUCUUUACACCUAUAAGUUUUCGGUCGCUAAAUUUACCUCUUUGAUUAUUUUCAUCUGUUAGAUCAUACUAUUCAAUCAAUCGCCUACUCAACCCUAGGGGACCAUUAUUAUCCUAAUUGGAGACCACUAUCAUCCUAAUCGCAUAUCUCUUCACCCAACAGCUGAAAAUUUAUGAGUAUAAAGAGGUCUAUACUCAUAAGAGUAUAGUAGCACUAGCAUAUAUAUAUAUAUAUAUAUAUAUAUAUAUAUAUAGAGUUGAGUUGAGCUAUGAUACUUUUACAAGUAUUCUAAUUCAACUCUCUCUCUCUCUCUCUCUCUCUAUAUAUAUAUAUAUAUAUAUAUAUAUAUAUAUAUAUAUAUAUUCUAGCUCAACACACACACACUCUCUCUCUCUCUCUCUAUAUAUAUAUAUAUUGAGUCCGGCUGCUAUGCUAUUGAUAGCAUCAAGCACUUGGUGCUAUCAAGUUUUCUGCCGUUAGAUUAACCCCUUUGAUUAUUUUUAUCCGUUAGAUUAUACUAUUAAACCAACCACCCAUUCAACCCUAGUGGGCCCACAUCAUCCUAACCGCACAUCUGUUAGAUUAACCCAUUUGAAUUGGGAUUCCGAUAACCAUAAUUUUUCGGUAGAUUAUUUUAGUAAAUUAUGCUUUUAGGAGGUGAUUUUGUUGAGACUUUUGUGAGAUUCUGGUGUUGAAUUUCUUCCUCCUCGAUUUUCCAUUGAUUGUGGCUAUUUAGGUAGGUUCCAUGUCGCCGAACAUGGCUGAUUACAUAUGGAUGACAUUAUGAUAUUUGAUAGUUGAUGUUGUCAUCCUGAUGAUAUUUGUAUACAAAGAAUCAUUAUUCUUAUUAUUUAUCAUUGUCACUUUGAUACCGUUGCAACUGUAAGACUAGGAAAUAUACUGAAAACUUAUGGGACUAAUAUUUGAGAUAUUGACUAUAUGAGAGGAUAUUGGCUAAUAUGAUCUUUUUGAUCAUCUCAUUAACCACAGCUUGCGAGGCCAUAAUGAGCUUGACAGAAUAGGUAGUGAUAUAUGAUGCUCGGUAGGGCUGGCAAACGAGCGAGCCGGCUCGCGUUCGACUCGCGUUCGGCUCGAUAUUCGGCUCGCUCGAGCUCGACUCGAAAUUAAAUGAGCCGAGCUUGAACAAAAUAAAAGGCUCGAAAUUCAUUUCAAGCCGAGCUUGAGCCUAGAUUUAGGCUCGAAAUUAAUUUCAAGCCGAAUUUGAGCUGACAUAAGCUCGCUCGAGCUCGGCUCGUUUCCACCCCUAAUGCUCGGUAGGGUCGCUCCCCACGAGUGCCACUUUGGAGGCAAGUUGAUUAGAUGUGCUAGGCAGCUUACGUGUUGAUGGGGCACUUAUGGGAGUGUGGUUCGGUUAGUAGGCAGGCACAAACUUGACCGGACAUAUGAGAUAGUCAUGACGAUUGGGUCCUAUAUUAUUGCCCGAUUCUAUUUGACAUUGACACAUGUUUUCUGUUACCUCCACAUUGAUUUAUUUAAAGAUCCUAUUACUAUUCAUUGUUUUACUGUGUUAAUACUAAUUAAGAGGCGUGAUAGUGUUCUAUUUUUAGUUCAUAUUAUGCUAAUUAAGUUACUCAUUCUUUUACUUCUUAUUUACUAUUCUUGUCUAUAAUAGACAUAGUAAUGUAGGUCGUCGCUGUCGUCGAUGUACCCACAAAAAAUUAUUGAUUAUAGUUUGCAUGCCCUUCCUUGUUAUUUCUUUUUCAAAACAUUCAAUACCAGUGACAAAUGCAGAUCAAGAUAAGAAAAUAGCUUGCUAGUUAGCAUCUCCUACUCGGAUGGCAACCACUAGAGAAUGACUCGUGGGUAGUUUUAUGUAUAGCAACAAUGUAUACUAUGUACUGGCAAGGUCUGAGGGACUUGUAUUUACAUUUUGGUUAUUGGAGACGUCAUGUACAUUUGAUGUGGAUGUCAUUAGUUAGUGGAUUUACAUACAUGCUGCUAUAGUACAUGUUGUUUAAUUCAUAAACUCUGAUACCUCCUUAGUUGUGGACUUUAGGUACCCUGACAGGUUUGUUGCGCACUUCGGGUGUACGGGGUGCGCCUCCUGUAUCCAUUAGAUCUGUUGAUGCUCCCGAAGGCUUUUGUUGUGACCCAGAAUGUGACAAAAUAAAGCUGAAAAAUUUAGCUAGUGUUCAACUUGUUUAUUAAUGAGCUAGCUCGUGAACAGCAAGUUAGAUUAUCAGCUCUAUUUCGAAAAUUAGAAUCUUAAUAAUAUAAAAUUCACAAAAUAUAGGUCAUUUUAUAUUUGGUUUUGCCUAAAAUUCAAAUAGUAGAAAUUUGUAAUACAUACAUAUAUAUAUAUAUAUAUAUAUAUAGAGAGAGAGAGAGAGAGAGAGAGAGAGAGAGAGAGAGAGAGAGAGAUGGGUUGGAAUACUAAUAAUAGUAUUUGCGCCUUUGUAUUGCUUAGUUUAUAACUCUUGUAUAAUAAAUUGUAAGGUUAUGAUGAUAGUAGUUUCUAGGGUUUAUAGUGGCCCUAUCAGUUUAUAUGUAUUUGGUGGAAUAGUAUUGAUUUAAGGGUGAAAAUAAUCAAAUAAAUAGAUUUGAUAGCUAAAAACUAAAUAUUAUCCACAGUCAGACAAUAGAGAGAAAGAGUUGAAAUAGAAUACUAUCGAUAGCAAAUGAACUCCAUUGCUACUGAUUUAUUUUCAAUGAUAGAACUUCCAAAUCAAUGAUCGACAUUGUUGAAUAUUAUCUAGAUCAUUUAAAGUAUCUUUACCAUUUUGAUAGAGCUUUCGAAUAGGGUGUUUGCACGUUUAACAAUAUAAAAGAAUCCAAAUUAGUUAAAUUUAUGUUGCAAAAUUAUUUAAACUAUUUAAAAUAAGAUCUGUACCCUUAAUCUUGAAUAUAAAAAUAUAUCGUUAAUAUUUUAAGGAUAUUUAUUUUCAGCCGUUUAUUUUUACAUUUACUUGAUGCGCAAGAGAACAACUUUGGAAAAGUAUGAGAUUUAGUUUCUAAAUACUUCAAAUGGUGUAGAUCAUAUUCAACAAUAUCGAACGUCAAUUUAGAAGCUCUAUCAUCAAAAAUACUAAUAGCAAUAGAGUCCAUUUGCUACGGAUAAUAUUCUAGCCCGUCUCUCUCUAUAUAAAUAUAUAUAUAGACAGAGAGAGAGAGAGAGAGAGAGAGAGUUGAGAUGGAAUACUCCCCCUCUCCUCCUCUCCUUUGUUCUCUCCAAUCUUUUAACAGAAAGACCUUCUCUGCAAGUGAGUUAGCACCCGGUGAGAAUUUUGAUUAGAUUAGCAAUCUUGUAUUGAUACCUAUAGAAGUUGGUCGCGUGUGUGGCUUCAAGAGAAUCAAAUUUCAUGAUCAUCAAAUUGCGAUGAAAAUCUACCCACCCAAACGCAAAAUACUAGUAGUAAUAGUAUUCAACUGUGGAUACUAAUCAGUUUUUAGCCGUUAGAUAUACUCUCUUUUCAUUUUUUUCACCCUUGAUUCAAUAUUAUCUCACCAACUACCACUAAACCUUAGGGGGAGCACUAACCCUAUAGACCACUAUCAUUUCAAUCCUAUAAUUUUUCAUCUAAGGGUUAUAAGCUUACUAGUAAAAUGGCUCAACUAAUAUUAAUAGUAUUCCAACCUCUCUCUCUCCCUCUCUCUCUUUUUCUAUAUAUAUGUGUGUGUGUGUAGAGCUACUAUACUUUUGAAAGUACAAGAGAGUUAAUACUUACGACUUUUUGGCCUUUGGAUCAAGUAUUGUAUAGUUGGGAUGAUAGUGGUCCCUCUUAGGGUUGAGUGGUUCUCCUAGGAUUGGCCACCUAGGUUUGAGUGGGUGGUUAGGUCAGUAGUAUGAUCUAACGAAUUAAAAUGGUCAAAUGGGUAAUGUAACGGUGGAAAACUUGAUAGCAUAAAAUGUUUGGUAUUAUUGAAAACACCCUAGUUGAACUAUACAUACAUAUAUAUAUAUAUAUAUAUAUAUAUAUAUAUAUAUAGAGAGAGAGAGAGAGAGAGAGAGAGAGAGGGAGAGAGAGUUGAGCUAGAAUACUCUCAAAAGUACCAAGGGGUUGGUGGUUUUGGGUUUUUAGCCAUUGGAUAGAGAGAUGUAGGGUUGAGAUGAUGGUGGUAGGUGGUGGUAGGUAGUGGUAGGUGGAAUAGUGUUUGAUCCAAAGGUUAUUAGUAAUCAAGAAGUAGAUCCAAGGGCUAGAAACUCAAAAGCACCAAGGGGUUGGUACUUUUGAGAGUAUUCUGGCUCAAUUAUAUAUAUAUAGGGUUAAUUACAGCGAUAGUGUAGUGUCCCUAGUGUUUGUUUUCCUGUGGGAUUUCAGCAUUUGUGGCUUGUCGAUACAUCUGGAAAAUGUCGGGACAAGUCGGAGUCGUUUUGACGCGAAAUGGAUGCAAAACGGACUCAACGCGAGGCUAGAGUAGAGUUCUGACCUCAAAUCCGUAAAGUGCAGGAUUUCAGUGUUUAGUACUGGUACCAGGGAGAGGAGUAUCGGUACCCCAGUGGCAUUCCAGAACUGAUGCUCUCGGGUUGCGCCAAGGUGAUGCUGGGUCCCGGUACUGCAUCGGGCGAGUACCGAUACCUUAUACGCGAGCUUGCGGGUUGAGAGGCCGAGUACCGGUAACCAAAUUGGGUACCGGUACUCCAGCGAUAUGUUGGAGUAGGUAAGGGGUAUUUUGGUCCGUUGGAUUCGGCGUUCAACCCAACCACCCCUUAGCCUAUAUAUGUGUUUGGAGAGUUCACAGAGAGAGAGUUUUGAGCCGGUUCUUCUUCUCCGUUCCCUCUCUCUCUCUAGUUGGUGGACUCGUAUGUCGUAGAGAUCACGGCUCGAGCUCGAGGAGGUUGUCAACUCGAUCCAGAGGGCCGUUCAAGCCUGUGGGCGUCGCGGUUGCAUCGUUGGGAGGCCGGGCGAGCGCGUGGAUUUCCUUCUUUCGACUUCUCGCCGUUGUUGGAUAGCUUUUCGAGGUGGGUUGAAGUUUACCGAAAUCGUCGGAUUUCCUCCUAAACCAAGAUUUCUGUCAACAUGUAUAUGUAUCAUGUGUAGGAGCAUGUUAGUGGCUCGAUUCAUUGAUUUGCAUAGUUUUUAUGAAAUCUGAGUUGGAGCUUUAUAUGCUAGACUUGUUCUAUAUGUUGGACUUGGAAUUGACUUAGGAGAAAACCUUUAAAUCUUACACUGUCAUUUUCUGAAAGACUAUCAGAUUUAGCUGUAGGAGCUGUUAUAAUUUUGUAUCACCGCUGUUAGUGCGAGGUGGAUACCCAGAUUAGUGUAAGGUGAGUUUAUGCUCGUGCUGGGAUGCCGAGCUGUCUUGUAGUAGUAUGUUAGACUGUUUUGUGUUGUCGGGUACUGUCGCGGUUGACGGUGGACUCAGAUUUAUUUAUCUUGCAUCAGAUUGUGCCAAGGGCACGUGAAUGUUGGUUGUUGGACCCAUUGCGUUGACUAUAGUCGUGAGAGCCUGAUUGAGCUCAGUAGAGACACGCUUACAUACUCGGUUUGGGUAGCGCCCGCGAGUGCCGCUCCGGAGUGAGGCUUUACGUGCGUUGUCGUCGCAGUAGUCCUAUUUGGACGGUGCUCUUGGACCGGCCACCCCGGUGGUGGUGUGCGGUAUAGCUUGGAUACAGGCCGGAUGGGCCAGUUGGCAGUCCCUUGACCUUAGGUCAGUGUAGUCGUUGUUGCAGAGGAUGUAUGUUUACAUCUAUAGAUAGCUAGUGUCGGUUAGCGAUAGUAUAGUGGCAUAUAGCUGUAGGAUUUUUCAGCUUUCCUUACUAUCUCUUGCGCACUUUUCUGUAAACUUAGUGGGUGAGCUGUUGAGGUCGGUGACGGUACCCACUGAGGACUACUCUAUUUUGCAGUAGUUCUCACACCCAGUUGUUGACCUCUUUUUGUAGAGCUUUCGUCUGCGGCUGCUGGUGUUGUGGAUUCUGAUGGAGGCAAGGGAAUCGCGAGUUAGAGCCAUCCCUUCCCUGGUUGCAGUGCUAGAGGAGUACCUUCCAAAUGUAGUUUUAGGAUAUUUUUGUACAUAUGGUUGUUGUCGGGGUACUCGCUAGAGCGAGGGUGUAGUGGACUUUUUGUAUGUACAGGAAACCCUCGAGGUUUUUAUAUAUAUGCUAUUUUCAGUUUAGUAGCUCUCUAUCUUGUGGUGGUAGCUUGUUUUUGUUUACAGGUACAGCUAUCGCUUCGUAUACAGGAGAAAGUCCUAUGUAUAUGGCGGGUCUGUUGACGUGCCCGGGGAAACAUGGUAAUUAGAGCGUGACAAAUUAAAUUGGUAUUAGAGCUUAGUAUUAGAUCGUUGGGACCUAGCAAACCUUAGGCUUGGCAAACCUUAGGAAGUUGAGACGUGAGAGGCGUGAUUUAUCGCGGAAGUCAACGAUUGAGUUGUUUUAACUCUUCCUAGAGUGGAGUGAGUUACUGAAAGAGUGUCUGUUUCGGCCAGGAAAAAUUAUGUCGGCUGCAAACGGCAUAAUUUUGAGUAAAAACAGGGAUGGCCUUCUAGACUUUUGCUUUAUUGGGUCGAGAGUUCAUUGUGUUCUAUAUCUGACCCUUCUUUUGGUUUCAGGUAGCCAUGUAUUGACGUCGAGGUCGACUGCCGACGCGGGAUCGUGCCGUGCCAUCAGAGAUGCCUGAGCAGGCAGGGCCGAGUAUACCCCGCGAUCUAAGAGAGCAGUUAGCUGCCCUGACUGAGGCGAUCAGGCAGAAUGGGGCACUGUUAUAGAAGAUGUGCGAGACAUUUACUCCGCCGACGAGCACAGCACCUCGAGCACCAGAGCAGCCGGCACCACCAUUGACUACUCCAGUCGCCGCACCAACCACAGCUGUACCCCCACCAGCGGCAGCUCCUGUAGCGCCAGUUGCAUCUUCUGAAGAGGCGUCGCAGAUGUCCGAGGCUGAGCAGGAACGGAUGACAGAGUGGCUCUCUCAUUUCCGUCGAUUUGAUCCGCCGCGCUUUGAUGGCAGUUGCACGGAGCCCUGGAUUGUAGAGAGCUGGAUGAGCGCGAUGGAGAAGUUAUUCGAGGACUUGUUUAUACAGGAGCGGGAGCAGGUACAUCUGUGCACUGUUUGGCAAGCGAUUCGCAUUCCUGGUGAAGGAGGAUGAGACAAACUCGAGGGUUGGUGGCGCUAUAGAUAAAGUAGGACGAGUUUUACGGAAUGCUGUACGAGGCGUAUUUUUCAACUAGCGUGAAGCAAAAACUCGAAGAGGACCUGAAAAAACUACAGCAGGGGGAGCGAUCAGUUCAGGAGUACACUAGCGAGUUUACUCGGCUUCUGAACUGUGUGCCAUUUGUAGCCAGAGAUGAGGCCCACAAGGUAUACCUGUAUGAGGGAGGCUUGAGGCCUGAGAUCCUCCAGUUGGUGCAGGCGCAGAGGUUGAGGACCUUGGACUCGUCGAUUGAGCAGGCGUUGUGGGUUGAGAGAGGAGAGGUGUCAGUCCGCCAGCGGGCACCGGUACCGGGGCAGAGUCAGGACAGAAAGCGCCCGGCCCCUGAUGAUGGCGGACAGACUAGUGGCAGGCGUCCGCCGAGUGUAGUACACUGAACUUAUGUACAUUGCGAAGUUCGAGUAAAAGGAAUAAUAUUUGGAACCUUCCCACAUGUUAUAAAGAGUUUAAAGUUAUUUAUGAGUAAGUCUGAGAGUGAUUGGAGUGUGGGAAGCGAGAAAGUGCCUUGUAAUUUCGAACUGGGCCUUUUCUGCAUUGGUGUACCGGUACAAGCAUGAUGCUGUACCGGUACAGCAAGCAGCAGAGGCAGCAGCUGCGUGGCAAUCAGGCCAUUUUGGUCUUUUGGCAUCUUAUGCUUAUCUACUUGAUCCAGCACGACCCCAGGAGCUCUGUAGAAGUUGCUGGAGCUCAGAGCAAGCUUCUUCCCCUUCUUCCUCCUUCUCUCUCUAGGGUUUUUCUCUCUCUACGCGGAAGUCGCCGUUUUGCGCCGAUUGCGCGUCCCGAUCAACGGUUGCUGGUUAGGUGGACUUGGGGUCGGCUUUUAAAAGGUAAGUGAAGUGUUUUUAGCUGGGUUUUCAUGUCUACUGCUGGGGGGCAGCGGCUGCUGAAUAAUAAGCUGUAGAGAAGUUUAUAGCUCAAAUUACUCUCAAGUUUGUUGGGUUAUAUUCGUUUUUGACGCAUUUCAGUUUUAUUGCUUCAGCUGAGUUUGAGAAGGACUCCAGCACUUGAAAGGAGUUGUUUAGCUGUGAUUUAACUACCUUGGAUCAGGUUAAGCUGCUGCAAAGCUAAACAAGGUAAUUAUUAACAUGACAAAUUCAGAACCGUGUGUAGUUUAAUUGAGUUAAGUGACGCAGCUUGGAUGGAAUCUCGUAGCAGGUUUUCGAGCCUCUUUGAGCUGAACCUGUGCUCUUGAAGCUGGUUUAGGAGGAUAUUUUAACCAAGGGUAAGUUGAAAUUUCUGUUAGAAACGGAAUUUGUAAAGAUCCAGCCAUAUUACUUAGUAAGGGAGCGUUUUGGACGCGCGUUUCGUGUUUGUUCGCAGCAGGGUUAUAAUUAACCUGGAUCGUCCAGCUGAUCGCGUGAGAGCUUUUGGAAGCUUAACUGAAGUAAUUCGCCUGAACCAAAACAAAGAAUUAAGUCGGCAAUAUAGUUGAAUGAGAAUUUCGCCGAAAUUGGAGUUGUAGUAACCAUGAUGACGCGAUUCUUGCAUUUAUUUUUCAGCAGGAUUGAGGCUUCGUUGAGCUUGAUUUUGGGACUCUUGUGGAUUGAAUUGGAGUCUUGUAUUAGGUGGGUUUGACCUAACCAGAAGCAAGUGAAGCCUCCUCUAUGUUCUAUAUGUGAUUAUAUGGAUUGGUUUAGUCUGUGCGUAUUGUAAUUAGUUGAGUGACUGAGUACUUGGACCUUGCUACUAUAAUGAUUGAUGCAACUAAAAUAGAACCUCUAAAUAAAAGGAAUCUCAUGCAAUACAAGUACUCAUGCAUAAACAUAUUCUUGUUUAGUUCAGUGGAACCAUCAAGAGAUAACUACAAUAUGCUCUAUCAAGUAGAGAAUAAUAUAUUCUUGUGACUUUAUUUACUUUAAAGUAAGAACAACAAUAUGAUUUAUGCCUAUGUUGAUAGUGCCAUGAUAGUGAAAAGAUUCUAAUGCCAUAGGUGAAUUUAGCAUUGUUCUUGCAUUUUAUUUAUCUAGUGGAUACUAGUUUGUUACCAAUAGUUAUUAUAUUGGAUUCGAUCAAAAGAUCGAGAGUGAAACACUGUAAAUUGAAAAGUGAUGACUGAGACAUAUUGGGCUAUUGUUUUGCUUGCUGCCAUUGUGCUCAUUCGCACAUGCUUGUGAGGGUAACUCCCUACAACCGCACGCACUCCGGAGUUGGCCUACGCGACAGUUGCUCCACCGCGGCGAUUGGGUGCCGAAGUGGAAUUGCCGUGGGAGUAUGUAUAUACAUGGGGCCAUUAGGUGCGGGCAAGCUUGACUACCUGGGUAGGUCUUGAUAAAUGAAAAGAAAAUCUAAAUGAGAUUAAGUACUAAAUGAUAUUUGACAGUAAUGAAUGCUUACCUUGUUACAGUAGGUAUUUACAUAAUCGUGCUUAUGUUCACAUUAUAUUCAUUACUGCAGAGAUUAUAAUUACAUGUUGAAUACAUGCUCAUCACCUGUUAGCAUUGCAUAUAUAAAUAUCAUGCAAAUUAUCGCUUUUAACUUUCAUUUAGUACAUCCAGAGCCUGUGGUGUAUUCGCGGAGGCUGGCGCUUACCCACUGGGAAACUAUUGUUAAUAGUUUCUACACGCCCUUUUUAUGGUUGUUUUUUGCAGACACAUCUACAGGAGAGACUAGGAAUCGUGGCAAGGGAGUCGCGCCUAGCUAGGCACUACUAGGAGCGUGCUAGUCGAUCACUGUUACUCGGGCUAACAGCGAGGUGAUGUCCUUAUGUAUAUGAGAGACAAUCAUUGUACCUACUUUUUGUAUACCCAGUACUGUAUAUCUACUGUAUGGAUCCGAUACUUUAGUUGUGAUACUAUCUUUUGGUUGAGAUAUUCUGGACUAUACUCCUUUGCUCUAUUGUUGAUAGUAUCUUGUUGACUGGUACUUUGCUCUGAUAUCGGAUAGAAUUUUCUAUGAUCUUCUUUCUUAUCGACUUGCUUGGUUGUAGACGCCUUAUAUACUGAGGUGUAUGGCGGGUCUGUGCACGUAUCGGUUAUGCUUCCGCUGGUACUCGGGUGUGACAGAUUAUAGUCGGUAUCAGAGCAUAGGUUGAGUCUUAGUAGACCUAGCAAACCUUAGGCUGGUUGGACUAUAAGGAUAGGCUCGUGAGAGGCGAUGUCUAGUCGCGGCUUGUUGUUAAGCGAUAGUACUUUAUUGGGUACUUAUAAAACUCCGACUAGUAGGAGUUUGAUCGGGAUGUGCAAUUACUAACUUUGCAGAGGUCAUUUGCGGCCGACAACGUGACAUCANNNNNNNNNNNNNNNNNNNNNNNNNCACGGCCGAACAUCCCUCGCUGGGAGUGUUCGUACACGCUUACUCGUGUUACCGUCGUUCGUUUUGUUAUCGGGUUAUACAGAGUCAGUAGUGAAAAGUUAAAUGUCACAAGAGUGAGAGCUAGAAAACUAGCCUUAGAGUUAUAUUAUUGAUAACCAUUGUUGAUCAUAGGUGAUCUAUUUAUUUGUACGUUCUUGUUACGAUUUAAGUGGAUACCGUAAUCUUAGAAAAGUGAUAGUACCGUGAUAGUUGUAUCCGUAUUUAGUAUAACAACAAGAGAUGAAAUUUCAUUUAUUUCAGUGUUCUUAUAGUAAUAAGAGAUGAACUAUCUCGUAUACAUUCAAUAGAGAACUACCAAGGUGACUUGAUUUGUUCUUAUACAAAUACGUACUCAUGAACAUACGUACUCAUAAGAGAUGAAAUAUCUCCAAGAUAAAAUUAACGUAGUUAGUAAUAUCAUCGUUCCAGGUUCAUGAGUCAGUGAGUUUGAUUAAUGUUCAUGCGUGUCGAUUUGGUUAGGAUAUUAGUGUAUAUCUUGUAUCUCCUCGAAGUGAACGAGACCAAUCCAGUUUGGGUGGAUUAUGUUCUGAGGUUAAGUUAGGUGUUCUCAGGGUUUUAGUUCGAGUUGCUUCGGAGUUAGGACGACUUUUUUAUUUACGUUCUUAGCGCAGUAGUACCAAUGAUGUUGAGGUUAAAGCCGCUUUAAGAGUUAACAUUGAUAUAACGCUGAAUUAAGAAACAAAACCAAGUCCGUUAAUGGAGGUCAAUUCGAAGGUUUUCGAGAGUGGCUAAUCAACUCUUGCUAGGUUCCCAAUUAAUAUUGGGACGAUGCUUGUUUGUGCUUUGCCGCAGUUUUGCGAGGGAAUGAUCCAUUAUACCGACUUUAGAAUGUUUAAGUCAAAGAUUGUCCUUAAAGUUGAAUGGGAACCAAUUUAUAGGAGGAUUUGGUCGAAGGUUCUCGUGUCCAAGUCGAGUUUCUCCGAGCUUUUGGACGACGCUUCUUAAGUUAGGUUCGACGCAGUGAAUGAGUUAAUUUGAUGUGUGCCAGGACUUAAAUACAGUAUCAAUUGAUUAAUAGAAACAAAUCGAAACGUCGUCGAAUUGGGACUAGGUUCCAUCAAUUUAGUGUCGAUUUGUUGAGGAAAGUUCGACGACCUCAGGAAGAGUUUGAGUCGACCUUCGUUAUUUUGACUUUACGCAGUUUUUGCUUAUGAUUGGGUGUUUGAACUCUCAUUAACUCGAUAUUUGAAGAGAUGUCGAAAAUAAGUCGUCGGAGGGUCGUCAUCUGUACUUUUGGGUCGAUUUUUGUGAAGUGAAUGGAAAAUUUUCGGCUGGGGUUCAGGUGGAUUGGUCAUUGGCAACUAGCCCUGCGCGUUAGCCGCGUUUUGCCGCUGAAGGCGCAUCUCUCUCUUUUUGGGAUCUCUCUCUUCCUCCUUCUUCCCCUUCUUCGAACGAGACUCGAGGUCGUUGAAGAUGUCUCGAGGACCCCAGCACGACCUAGUUCAUCUAUUCGUAUUCUACGGUUUUCUGGUUUUACCGGACUAACGGUGCGUCGACGACGGAGACGACGAACGACAUGGCCAUGUCGUAGUACGAACAUGGCCAUGUGGUUACGUCUUUUCCGGGUUAAGCUUUAAUGUUCCGUCAAAGAGCGAAGGGUGUGAGGCUAGUGAGAGUCUGAAUGAGUAUUUAUUGAAAUUUGAGAAAUAUUGUACACCCUUCCAAGGUUUAUAAUAAGGGAAAUGAGCUUGAAGCGUUACAUGUAUACAAGUCAUAUGAUGUCAGUGGGGAGGAUUUUUACUCAAAGCAGGCGCUUUGAACAUUUGUGAAUGGAGUCCUAAAGCAGCUCUUAUCUAUCCCUAUUACGAGAACGUAAUGUAAAAGGUCAAGGGUUCACCGAAGAGCAAGUAGUACUAAAAAGGUUUCAUAGAAAUGCAUUCCAUAAAGCGCUAAAGCUUCGGCAAAGUGGAGAGCUCGAUUAUAGGAAUGACCUACGAGGAGCUUCGAGUUUAGAAGAACAUUUAGGUGACCUCAUGAGAGGUUUUACACUCAACCUAAUUUUUGUAUGAAGGCAUCACAUCUAUGUACUUUGUGUAAUACAUGAGGGCUAUCUAAACUGCCGUUACGUUCAGCUAUUCGAUGCCCCGGAUGGGCGAGGUUAUGGAGCAUUCCAGGUUAUUUAGCUCCUGAGUUGAAAGGAGCUUAUGGUUUGGAAAAUUGAGGAAAACAGCCACUUUGGAAGUCUUUAUGUACUAGUGGUUGAACUUUAAGAUUAAGAGCGGCUGCAAACAGGCGUAUUGAGAAAACAGCUGAAACCCGACAGUCAUCUACAAGAGCGCGUUCAGCUUGAAAUCGAAGUCGGAGAACAUUAUGUAGACCUGGGUUUUGGUUAGAGAGUGGGUGAAGUGAGGUUACUUCACCACUAGACGUGAAAGAUGGUAUUUCCCGAAGUUUGCCACGGUAGACUUAUGACCGAACUAUUGAUAACAAUAUUCGUUUAAGUCGGUAUCCGUUCUUGACACCGGUUGACGGGACUAUCAGUUAGUGUGUCCGGGCGUUGUAUAGGAGUUCCCAGACCUACCAUGCGAGUCCGGAGUUGGCCUACGCGACAGUUGCUCGCCCGUGCGGGAUUGGGUGCCGAAGUGGAUUGCCGUGGGGAGUGUAUACUACCAUGGGGCCAUUAGGUGCGGGGCAAGCUUGACUACCUGGGGUAGGUCUUGAUAAAUGAAAAGAAAACUCUAAAUGAGAUUAAGUACUAAAUGAUAUUUGACAGUAAUGAAUGCUUACCUGUUACAGUAGGUAUUUACAUAAUCGUGCUUAUGUUCACAUUAUAUUCAUUACUGCAGAGAUUAUAAUUACAUGUUGAAUACAUGCUCAUCACCUGUUAGCAUUGCAUAUAUAAAUAUCAUGCAAUUAUCGCUUUUACUUUCAUUUAGUACAUCAUGAGCCUAGUGGUGUAAUUCGCCGAGGCUGGCGGCUUACCCACUGGGAACUAUUGUUAAUAGUUCUCACGCCCUUUUUAUGGUUGUUUUUGCAGAGCCAUCUACAGGAGAGACUAGGGAUCGUGGCAAGGGAGUCGCGCCUAGCUAGGCACUACUAGGAGCGUGCUAGUCGAUCACCUUGUUACUCGGGCUACAGCCGAGGGUGAUGUCCUUAUGUAUAGAGAGACUAUCAUUGUACCUACUUUUUGUAUACCCAGUACUGUAUAUCUACUGUAUGGAUCCGAUACUUUAGUUGUGAUACUCAUCUUUUGGUUGAGAUUUCUGGACUAUACUCCUUUGCUCUAUUGUUGAUAGUAUUGUUGACUGGUACUUUGCUCUGAUAUCGGGAUAGAAUUUUCUAUGAUCUUCUUCUUAUCGACUUGCUUGGUUGUAGACGCCUUAUAUACUGCAGGUGUAUGGCGGGUCUGUGCACGUACCGGUUAUGCUUCCGCUGGUACUCGGGCGUGACACCGAGACCUCUACGAUCGCGCUCUAAGGGUCGUGGGUCUUCGGGGCGACAGCGGUCUGAGGGAUUCCGUCAGCAGCAGAGGCUUCCACGGUGCAUCUUUUGUGGGGGACCACACUAGCCCCGACAGUGUGAGCAGAGGGAUGGCCGGUGUUAUGGAUGUGGACAGUCAGGACAUAUAAGGGCAGCUUGUCCCUGAGCAGCAGCGCCAGCACCUUCGACAGCGUCAGCUCCGCCAGCACCUCAGCAAACUUAUGAAGCGUCGCCGAGCUACCGUCAGGAGUAUAGGGCGUCUGUGCCGCGACAGAGUGAGCGGCGACCGCAGGCCUCGAGUGGUAGGGUGUAUGCAGCCCAAGUGGACGACUCUACCGCAGGCCCUAAUCUUUUUUUUUUUUUACAAUUGAGUCCCUAAUCUCUUGAUUUUAUUACAAUUACGUCCCAAUCGUUAAGAAAACUGUUAAAAUUAACGGAAUCGCCACGUCAGCGCAUAUUUGGCAUCCUUUUCUAUGUUAAUUUAGGUCCCUAAACUUCACACGUUUUUUCAUUUUAGUCCGUAAAAAUAAAAAUUCAAAAUUUUAAAUUAAAAUUCAAAAAUAAUAUUAAAAUUAAAAUUUUAAAUUAACGAGAAAUUAGAACUUUGAAUUUCAAUUUGAAUUUAAAGCUGAAUUAAAAUUUUGAAUUGAAAUUCAAAUUUUAAAUUUAAAUUUUUAAUUGAAUCUAAAUUUUGAAUUCAAACUUAAAAUUUUGAUUUUAAUUUUGAUAUUUCAUUUUAUAAUUAAAAUAGAAGUUUUGAAACCAAAAUUUAAAUUUAAAAUCUGAAUUUAAAUUUAAAAUCAUAUUCAAAAUUUUGAUUUUAAAUUUUAAAUUUGAAAUUCAAAUUUAAAUUUGAAUUUAAAAUUCUGAUUUCAAUGCUAAAAAUUGAAAUUUAAACUUUAAAUUCAAAUUCACAUUUGAAUUUAAAAUUUCAAAUCGACAGUUUGAAAAAUUAAUUAAGAUUUAGAAUUCCAAAUGUCGAAUUUGAAUUAAAAGUCAAAUUUAAAAUUAAAUACAAAAUCGGAUUUGAAUUCCAAUUUAAAUUUGAAUCCAAAGAUAAAUUUUAAAAUUUAAAUCUUAAAUUAAUUUUUUUUAAUUUAUAAAUUUAAUGGUUAAUUACACUAUUGGUCCCCAAACUUUGCACUGUUUUUCAAUUUGGUCCCCAAUCUUUUUUUUUUUUUGCAAUCCGUUGACACAGCGCCACCAUGGCGCUGACACGACGUCUCCGUAGCGCUAACAUGACGCCUCCGUGGCACUGACAUGGUGCUGACAUGGUAUUUUUCGUCAAUUUUAACAGCUAUCUAACGGUUGGGACUUAAUUAAAAUGAAAUCAAGAGAUUAGGAACUUGAUUGCAAAAAAAAAAAGAUUGGGGACCAAAUUGAAAAAUAGUGUAAAGGUUAGGGGCCAUUGGUGUAAUUAACCCAUAUAUAUAUAUAUAUAUAUAUAUAUAGAGAGAGAGAGAGAGAGAGAGAGAGAGAGAGAGAGAGGAGGAGGAAGAGAGAGAGUAGGGCUACUAUACUCUUAUGAGUAUGGGCCUUCGUACUCAUAAGUUGUUUUCGAUGAUGGAGCUUCCGAAUCGACGAUCCUUCGUUAAAUAUGAUCUAGAGUAUUUGAAACUUUUAGAAAAUAAAUUUCGUAAUUUUCGAAAUCAUAAUAAAGUCCAUCAAGCGGGCAUAAAAUGAACUAUCAAAAUCGAACGACGUCCUAAAAAAUGGAUGAUCGACCUUCAAUUUAAGAUCGGAGUUAUUGAUCUUUUAUCUAGGUAGUGAAUAAAUUUCUAUCAAAAUUUCAACCAAUUCCGUUCAUUUACAACCGUUAAACAAGCAAGUAUCCCAUAACGGUUGUUCAAAAAAUUGUCAAUUUUGUGAGUUUUUGAUCGUAAAGGCAAAUGAUCGUCAAAAAAUUAUGAAAAUUAAUUCUAGAAGUUUUAAUGCUCUAGAUAAUGUUUAACAUGUGGAUCGUCGAUUUGGAAGCUCUAUCAUCGAAAACAACUUAUGAGUACAAGGGCGAUCAUACUUAUAAGAGUAUAGUAGCCGAACUCUCUUCUCUCUCAUCUCGCCCUCCCUGAGAUAAUCCUAUCUCUCCGUGCUCUCUCUAACGGUUCCAGCCUCUCUUCUCUCUCUCUCCUCUCUCUCCUCUCUCUCUCACUCCUCUAAUAUAUAUUAUAUAUAUAUAUAAUAAUAUAUAUAUUAGAGUCCGCUUACUAUACUUUUAUAACGUAUGGCUAACUUAUACUCAUAGAUUUUCCGGCCUUAGAUUAUUCCCAUGAUCAUUCCAUCCGAUUAGAUCGAUACUAAUUCACCAACUAACCACUUAAACCUGAAGGACUACUAUUAUUCUAAGUGGAUCCACCAUCAGUCCUAACCCACAACAUCUAAUCAAUCAAUGGUUAAAAAUUUAUGAGUACAGAUGUUCUAUACUCAUAAAGAUAUAGUAGCCCCCAGCCUAUAUAAUAAUAUAUAUAUUUGGAUAAUUGGAGCUAGAUAUACUUAGAACACCAUCUCAUUUGGUGCUUCUAAGUUUUCUAGCCUUGAUCUACUACAUUGAUUAUUAAUGCUUUGAUCAAAUUACUAUUCCACCUUACCCACCAGCUACCAUCCAUCACGUCUCAAUCCUAUAAUUUCUCUCAUCCAACAGGAUUAAAAACUCAAAAGCGGCCAUCCAUGUACUUUUGGGAGGAAAAAAAAAAAAAAAAAUAUCUAGCUCUACUCUAAGAUUAUUUAUAUACACGUGUAAUAUAUAUAUAUUAUAUAUAUAUAUAUACCUAUAGAUAUAUAAUAUAUAUAUAUAUAAUAUAUGAUAAUAUAUAUAGUAUAUAUAGUAGAGCUAGAAUACUCCCAAAAAGUACCCAAUGGGAUUGGUGCUUUAUAUAUAGGGCUUACUAUACUCUUAUUGAGUAUAGAGUCUUCAUACUCAUGAAAGUUGUUUUCAAAAUGUAUGAAGCUUCCAAAUCCGAUCGAUCGAGUCGCGUUAAAUAUGUAUAGAGUAUUUCGAAACGUUGUUAGAAAAGAUAUUGGUAAUUUUUCGAAAUGUCAUAAUAAAGUUCAUCAGCGGCAUAUAAAAGACCGGUCAAAACAAUCGAACGAUGUUUGGAUCCUAUCAUUUAAAGAUCGGAGUUAUCAUACUUGAUCGUUUAUCUACGUAGUGAAUGAAAGUUUCUAUCAAAAAUUCAAACCGAUUUCCGAUUUUUUUAAACACGCGUUGAAAACUAGACAAUUGUCAUACCGCGCUGUUAAAAAGAUUCGUCAAAUUUUGUUGACCUUUUCGAUCGUAAGGUAAAUGAUUCAAAAUUAUAAAAAUUGUGAUAUCUAGGCGUUUUAAAUUGCUUAGGAUAACGUUUAACGGUGUGGAUCGGUCGAUUCGGAAGCUCUAUCAUCGAAAAUUAACUUAUAGUCUGAGUCGCAGAGCGACUACUCAUAAAAAGUAUAAGUACCGGACUUCUAUAAAUAUAUAGUAUUAUAUAUAUAUAUAUAUAGAGAGAGAGGACGACGAGAGAGAGAGAGAGAGAAAGAGAGAGAGAGUAGGGCUAUUAUAUUCUUUUAUGAGUAUAGAAUUCUCCUUAUACUUAUAAUUUUUUUUGUAUGAUGGAGCUUUCGAAUCGACGAUCCACUCCAUUAAAUAUGAUCUAGAGUUUUUAAAACUUUUAAAAAAUAAAUUUCGUAACUUUUUGAAAUUAUAAUAAAGUUCAUCAAGCGUGUAUAAAGUGAACGGUCAAAAUCGAACAACAUCCUAAAAAGGAUGAUCGGAUCGUUCAAUUUAAGAUCAGAGUUAUUGAUCUUUAUCUAAAUAAAAACAGAAUUUUUUAUAAAAAAAUCAACCAAUUUCGAUUUUUUUACACCAUUAAACUAAUUACUAUCUCAUCCCAACGGUUAAAAAUUAUUAAUUUUGAGAUCUUUUGAUCAAAAGAUAAAUAAUGUCAAAAAAAAUUAUAAAAUUUGAUUUCUAAAAAUUUUAAAUACUCUAGAUAAUAUUUAACGUCAAUUCGGAAGCUCUAUCAUCGAAAACAACUUAUAAAUGCGAAGGUGAUCGUACUCAUAAAAAUAUAGUAAUCAAACUUUCUAUCACUCUCUCUCUAUAUAUAUAAGCUAGCUCUAUCGAGUCAAACACGAAUUAGUUGAUUUCAGAUCGUGUUCAACUCAAUCCUUAAGACAGUGUUUGGAUUGAGGAUAAGGGGAGGGAUAACCCCUUAUCCCCCUUUAUACUUAGACGCAAAUUUUUUAUCCGAGAAUAAUAGUUCUCGGAUACCUGAAAUAAACUGGUAUUACUAUCCCCACCAACAUCUUCAUUUUUUAUAUAUAACUACCUACUAUUUUUUUUAUUCCAUAUUAUCUAUCCAAACGUUAUUUUUCUUAUCCUCGGAAACAAUUCAAUUUUCAUCCAAACGCUAUUUUGCUUAUCCUCAUACUUGUACCUAUCCCUGUAAUAGUUAAUUCUUACUUAUUUCCAAAACAAACGGUACGAUCAAUUUCGAGCUCCUUACAAACGAGGGAUUUUACAUUGUCACACUUGCACUAUAUCAUCGAUAACAAGUCAAUCACAUUUCUUCUUUUCAAACAAAAGUAUAAUACAAAUAUUUUUUUAUAAUCAUGAUGAAACAUAUAUCUUUAAAAAAAAUAUUUAAUUAAUUUAUUAUGCCACGUCAUUAAUAUAUCCGGUGUAUUCUAGAAUUUUUCCUAACCAACUAAUUGCCUAACAACAACGAACCAAAUCGACAGACAGCCGGGCAGCACUUUCCUAUUUGUAAUAGAUUGACAGUUACUGGGAGGAGUAUUUUUAAUUUUUAAUUUUUUUUUUCUUUAAUUGUGAGAGACCAUAUGAUGACGGAGUGCGGGCGGUACGAGGCAGUUGUCGAGCAGAGGGGGGUCUACAGGAAUCUCUCCUCUGCCCGCGGUCCUUCUCAUUAUUCCACGCAUGCCCCGGCCUGACCUUUUCCCUCUCAUCACCAUUUUUCCAAUUAAAAAAUUAUUUUUUUUAAAAAUUUACGCCCCUUUUACAAAAAGAAAUAAUAUUUUCUACUGUUUAAUAAGGCACCGUUUCAAUUGAAAAUAAGGGGUGAAAUAAUCCUAUAUCCAAACGUUAAUUUUUUAUUUAAAAAUAAUAAUUUUUGAAUAAUUAAAAUAAGCUGGUAUAAUUAUUCUCACGAAUAUCUUUAUUUUUUAUUUUUCUUAUCCUCGGGAAUAAUCUAAUUUUCAUCCAAACGCUAUUUUUCUUAUUCUCAUACUUGUACAUAUCCCUGUAAUAAUUAAUUUUUGUUUAUUCUCGAACCAAACAGUGUGAUUAGUAUAGAAAAAUUAAUUUUUUAAUCUAAAAAAUUUAAAAUAAUAAUUUAAAUAAUUUAUAAAAUUUAUCUAAAAAAUUUUAAUCUUAACAAAAUAAUAAUACAGUGUGAUUAGUAUAGGAAAAUUAAUUUUUUUAAAAAAUAUAAAAUUUAGGAUAAAUUGCGCGCAUGGUCCUUAAACUAAUAUAUUAUUUUUAUAUUAACGGUAGAUCAUAUUUAGUCAAUUAAACUUCGUUAUAAGUCUUUAUUAUAAUAAUUCUAAAAAUUCAAACUAAAAAUUAUAAUAUGUUAAAUUUUAAGAACCAAAACAUCACCCGCAUUAUAAUUUGAUGAGAACUAAAUAUGCAAUUUACUCUAAAAUUUAUAUGAAAAAUGUAUCGUGUACAUCCAAAUAGGAAGUGUAAAUAUUAUUACAUCACAUUAUCCAAAAAUUUUCAAUUUUAUUAAAAUUUUAGCAUUUAAAAAAAAGAGGCAAUUGCUCUAUCUUUCUAAUUACCCAUCUUAGAAUGCUAAUAUUGAAAAUAUUUUUUUUACGUUCCAAUCUAUUUCCAAUAUUGUUAAUAAACUAUUAGCAAUAUUUAUUAUUAUCUUUAUGAAAUUAUUAUUUUGCUUUUCAAAUAUACUCUUCUAUUGUAACAAACUUUUUUUAUUUGCCCUUGAGUUAGGGACACAAAAAAUAUUUAGAUUUUUGAUCUUUCCAAAUAUGCUCUUCUAUAAUCACCAAUAUUUUUCAUUUGCCCCUAAGUUAACGGCAAAAGAUUUAUUUUGAUUUUUUUUAACUCUAAUAGAUAUUUAACUCACAUUUAACUCAAAUUAAUUUAACGGAUGGUGACUUUACAAAUAUUUUAAAAUAAUAAAAUAAAGAUAUUUUAAAGUUUUUAAAGAUAUGUAGAUAGUUAUCCCUCGAACAUAUUUUUAAACCAGUAUUAAUUUUUAAUAUGAAAAGAUGCAAAAAUAUACUUUUUUUUUUCGAAAUAUACCGAUAUAAAUUUACUUUUGCACGUACAACUACUAAAGAUGUCCGUGGACCGGAUCGGGUCUGGAUAGUUGAUAUACUGUACCCGUACCCUAAAAAAAAAUGGUUAGAAAAAAAAAAAUAUACCCUACCCAUUUAACUUCGGAUCGAAUCCGGAUCUGGAUACUUAAGUUACUAAUAUAUCCAUCGGGUCUAUCUGAGCGGAUCUCGAUAAUGACUAUCCGUAUACUAUCCGUUCAAAACCGGAUACAGGUCGGGUACGGGUACCUGUAUAUUUAUAUGUUUUUAUAUACUUUAUUAAAUUGUUUGGGCAAAAUUUGUUUCGGCCAUUAUAUUUACUGAUUAAAAGUUUAAAAUUUAAAAUAAUUUUAUAUGUAAACAUACAAAAAUUAAAAAAUUAUGAUACCAUAUUACAGAUAAAGAAAAUAUAAGUUGUAGUAAUUACUAAUAUUAUAUACUAAUAUUCAAAAAAAAAAGGAAAAAAUAAAGAUGAAUCAGAAAAUUUACUAAAUAGAAUAUUCAUUAAAAAAAAUAGAUUGUCGACUAUGAUUGGAGAAUAGAUUUGGAAAAAAAAAACUCACUUGUACCACACCCGUAAAAGAUUAAUAUCGCUUAUGAUGACGACGAUGGAAAUAUUGUUUUAUAAAAAAUCUUAGGUGGAAAUAAAACAAAAAAAAAUAAAGAGUUAAAAACAAAGAGUAAGAAAAUUAGAAAAAAGAAAAUAGUAAAAGAGUGGCUAGGGUUUCAGUGUUUUCCUUGGAUGAAAAUACUUAGAGAUCUCUCGUCUAUAAGUCCUAUUAAAAUUAAUCCCUCAACUUUAAAAGUUCACAAUUUUUUUAUUUACUAUCGGAUAUUUUAGCAGGUUCGGAUUUAAAAACUAUUCCGGAUCCUACCCAUUUAAAAGUUGGGUUCGGAUCAGAUCCAAAUCGGGUAUGGGUAUAAAAUAUCCGGACCCAUACCGGAAUCUUUAAUGGGUUUUUCUUUCACCCGUAUACUAUCCAUUUUUUAUCGGGUCCAGUUCGGGUCCGAUCGGAUUCGGAUAUUUUGGACAGCUUUAACAACUGCCAUUACUUUUUCAGAUAACACUUUUUUUUUAUCUUUUUUUUAAUUUCUCUGAUAAUUAUUAUAUUAUUAUUAUUAUAUUUGGGCUACAACAACAGGCGGCGCCGCUCUCAAAAGUUGGGAAUUAAAUUAAAUUAAAUUAAAUUAAAGGUGGGAGGGUGGAAGCCAUAAUUAUUGUUUAUUAUUUAAUCCGAGUUAUUGCUUUUGCUCUGAGAAAAAGUUGGGCAACAUCAUGCACUGCAAAAGUGAAAGGGGCUUUUUUUUUUUUUUUUCUNUUUUUUUUGACCUUUUCAUCAUCAAUACUUAAAAGGCAAAAAAAAAAAAGAAAAGAAAAGAAAAAAGGAAUAGGUAAAAAUGUAUGGAUGGUAAAAAGUUGCCCAGUUUUAUAGGCUUUUAUUUAGCUUAUUUUUAUUAUCUUUUGGUUGAUUCUAGGCUUUUAUUUAGCUUAUUUUUAUUAUCUUUUGGUUGAUUCCAGCUUUUGAUUUUCUUUUUCGGAUUAAUUACACCAAUAGUCCCCAACCUUUCCACCAAUUUUUACUUGAAUCCUCAACUUUUUUUUUUUCAAUUGAGUCCCUAAUUUCUUAAUUUUAUUACAAUUAGGUCCCAACCGUUAAAAAAAUCGUUAAAAUUAACAGAUUCGCCACGUCAGCGCCUAUGUGGCAAUCUUUUGCAUGUCGAUUAGGUCCCUAAACUUUGCACAUUUUUCAUUUUAGUCCCUAAAAAAAAUUCAAAAAUUUUAAAUUUAAAUUCAAAAAUAAUAUUAAAAUUAAAAUUUUAAACUAACGAGAAAUUAGAAUUUUAAAUUUGAAUUUAAAACUGAAUUAAAAUUUUGAAUUGAAAUUCAAAUUUUAAAUUUAAAUUUUGAAUUCAAACUUAAAAUUUAUAUUUUGAUUUUGAUAUUUCAAUUUACAUCUAAAAUGAAAGUUUUGAAACAGAAAUUUAAAUUUAAAAUCAUAUUCAAAAUUUUGAUUUUAAAUUUUAAAUUUGAAUUUAAAAUUUAAAUUUGAAUUUAAGAUUUGAUUUCAAUUCUAAAUUUGAAUUUAAACUUCGAAUUCAAAUUCACAUUUUGAAUUUGAAAUUUCAAAUCGAAGUUUGAAAUUAAAUUAGAAUUUAGAAUUCCAAAUGUGAAUUUGAAUUUAAAAUUUAAAAUUUAAAAUUAAAUACAAAAUUGAAAUUUGAAUUCCAAUUUAAAUUUGAAUUCAAAAUCAAAAUUUAAAUUUAAAAUUUAAAUCUUAAAUUAAUUUUUUUUUAAUUUAUAAAUUUAAUGGAUUAAUUAUAUCAUUGGUCCUCAACCUUUGCACCAUUUUUCAAUUUGGUCUCCAACCUUUUUUUUUUUUGCAAUCCGCUGACACAGCGCCACCGUGGCGCUGACGUGGAGCUGACGUGGCAUUUUUCGUUAAUUUUAUCGGCUAUCUAACGGUUGGGACUUAAUUGAAAUAAAAUUAAAAGAUUAGGGACUUGAUUGCAAAAAAAAAAGGUUGGGGACCAAAUUGAAAAAUCAUGUAAUGGUUAGGGACCAUUAGUGUAAUUAACCCUUCUUUUUCUCUUCUUUCGUUUUUUGUCUUGUUUUUUUGACUUCUGGGGAGAAGCAUGGCUCUGGAAUAAAACCUGACAUCAUGUUAAAAUUUUAGCUUAAUGUUAUACAUAUUCUUAUAAGUAUAGUAAAGGGAAAACUUUAAAAACCCUCCUGUGGUUUCAUACUUUUUUAUUUGAAUACCAUGUGAUUUAAAGUGUAUCAAAUUAGUAUCAUAUGGUUUCACACUUUCUCACUUUAGUAUCCUGUGAUUUAAAGUGUAUCAUAUUAGUACUCUGUGGUUUUAUUUUUGUAUCAUGUUAGUACCCUAUGGUUUUUAAACCACAGGGUACUAAAGUGAGAAAGUGCGAAACCACAUGGUACUAACUUGAUACACUUUAAACCACAGGGUACUAAAGUAAAAAAGUGCAAAACCACUGAAUACUAACUUGAUACAUUUUAAACCACAGGGUACUAAAGUGAGAAAAAGUGAAACUCCAAAGGGGGUAUUUGAAGUUUUUCCUAUAAUAAAUUACAAAACUAUUUUUACAAAGUUUAAUUUUUAUAUAUUAUUCCUGUAAAAGUUCUAAUGUUUUCAAAUAUAUCUCUGCCGUUAGAAUCCGUUAGAAAAUUUUAGUCAACCGUAGGUUAAAUACUUAAUUCUAAUUAGUUUAUAAGAUAACUUAACAUUUUACCCCUCUUAUAUUAUACUGUUGCGGUUUUUGGAUGGAUAUAUUUGUAAUAACAAAUUUGACAUUUAACUUAAAAUAUAAACAAAUCUAUAAAGGUAAUAACUAGAAAGAUAUAUUUGAAUACAUUAGAAUUUUUAUAAAAAUAAUAUAUGAAAGUUGAACUUUAUAGAAAUAUAUUUACAAUUCACUAUAUUUAUAGGAACCAGUAUUUAUUUAACCCUAAAAUCUUUUGAUCAACUAAAAUUGUUAUUUCUAUGUAAAAGAAAUAAUAGAAUUGUUAUUUGAG
rnacentral:lncRNA from 1 species